GGGCGGCUAGCUCAGUGGGAGAGCGCCUGCUUCACACGCAGGAGGUCGCUGGUUCAAAACCAGCGCCGCCCA
rnacentral:tRNA from 1 species